UACGUAGGUGGCAAGCGUUGUCCGGAUUUAUUGGGUUUAAAGGGUGCGUAGGUGGUCUAUUAAGUCAGUGCUGAAAUAUCCCGGCUUAACCGGGAGGGUGGCAUUGAUACUGAUGGACUUGAGUAAAGUUGAGGUAGGCGGAAUUGACGGUGUAGCGGUGAAAUGCUUAGAUAUCGUCAAGAACACCUAUUGCGAAGGCAGCUUACUAAGCUUUAACUGACACUGAUGCACGAAAGUGUGGGGAUCAAACAGG
rnacentral:rRNA from 1 species